GGACUUAUAACUCAAUGGCUGAGUGUCGGUCUACGGAACCGAAGGCUCUGGGUUCGAAUCCCGGUAAGUUCA
rnacentral:tRNA from 1 species